UAGGGUAUGGCUCAGUGGUAGAGUGUUUGCCUGGAAUGCAUAAAGCCCUGGUUCCAAUUGUCAGUACUAA
rnacentral:tRNA from 1 species